AAAAAAAAAAAAAAAAAAGAAAUGAAGAGGAGAAGUUGCCGGUGGUGGUGGGUAGCCUGUGGUUAAAGAAGGGGGAAUAUUAGUGCCAUAAUGGAAAAUGUUGCCUUCCCUCAUUCCUUUUAAACACUCGCCUGUGAUGUAUUUUCUGAGGAUGUUGCCCUGUUCUUAGCUGGAUCAUCCCUCCUUCCAGGCACUCUGAGAGAGGGGAGAAUUGGAAAUGACCAGGAGGAAGUAUCAGUCUCCAGGUGUGCCAUAUUCUAGAACUCAGGCUGGGCAUGGUGGCCCAUCUAUCUCAGAGAGGGACACUCCCACCACCUGCUGUCUAUUGAAGGGAAGUAGGGAAUGCCUCUGUACCCCUGAAGCUCUCAGAAAUCAGCCAUGACUAAGUGCAAUAUGGGAUCUGCAUGUAAGAAGUGACCACCAGCCAUUUUAAAGAGCUCUGGUCCAUUCAGGAGGCCUAGCUACUAUGUGGUGUGAUCUUCAUACUGCCAAAUCCUCCCAAGCUUUGGGUCAUCUAAUAACCUGAAUCCCUG
rnacentral:lncRNA from 1 species